ACAACAGAAGGACCGUCGGUCUACCGAGCAAUAUCACGCGCUCGGUGGAAGAUCUUUCCUUUCGUCGU
rnacentral:pre_miRNA from 1 species